rnacentral:rRNA from 1 species
UAAAUUGCCGGCGGGCCUACACAUGCAAGUCGAGCGGUAGCACAGAGAGCUUGCUCUCGGGUGACGAGCGGCGGCCGGGUGAGUAAUGUCUGGGAAACUGCCUGAUGGAGGGGGAUAACUACUGGAAACGGUAGCUAAUACCGCAUAAUGUCGCAAGACCAAAGAGGGGGACCUUCGGGCCUCUUGCCAUCAGAUGUGCCCAGAUGGGAUUAGCUAGUAGGUGGGGUAACGGCUCACCUAGGCGACGAUCCCUAGCUGGUCUGAGAGGAUGACCAGCCACACUGGAACUGAGACACGGUCCAGACUCCUACGGGAGGCAGCAGUGGGGAAUAUUGCACAAUGGGCGCAAGCCUGAUGCAGCCAUGCCGCGUGUAUGAAGAAGGCCUUCGGGUUGUAAAGUACUUUCAGCGGGGAGGAAGGUGUUGAGGUUAAUAACCUCAGCAAUUGACGUUACCCGCAGAAGAAGCACCGGCUAACUCCGUGCCAGCAGCCGCGGUAAUACGGAGGGUGCAAGCGUUAAUCGGAAUUACUGGGCGUAAAGCGCACGCAGGCGGUCUGUCAAGUCGGAUGUGAAAUCCCCGGGCUCAACCUGGGAACUGCAUUCGAAACUGGCAGGCUAGAGUCUUGUAGAGGGGGGUAGAAUUCCAGGUGUAGCGGUGAAAUGCGUAGAGAUCUGGAGGAAUACCGGUGGCGAAGGCGGCCCCCUGGACAAAGACUGACGCUCAGGUGCGAAAGCGUGGGGAGCAAACAGGAUUAGAUACCCUGGUAGUCCACGCCGUAAACGAUGUCGACUUGGAGGUUGUKCCCUUGAGGMGUGGCUUCCGGAGCUAACGCGUUAAGUCGACCGCCUGGGGAGUACGGCCGCAAGGUUAAAACUCAAAUGAAUUGACGGGGGCCCGCACAAGCGGUGGAGCAUGUGGUUUAAUUCGAUGCAACGCGAAGAACCUUACCUACUCUUGACAUCCAGAGAACUUUCCAGAGAUGGAUUGGUGCCUUCGGGAACUCUGAGACAGGUGCUGCAUGGCUGUCGUCAGCUCGUGUUGUGAAAUGUUGGGUUAAGUCCCGCAACGAGCGCAACCCUUAUCCUUUGUUGCCAGCGGUCCGGCCGGGAACUCAAAGGAGACUGCCAGUGAUAAACUGGAGGAAGGUGGGGAUGACGUCAAGUCAUCAUGGCCCUUACGAGUAGGGCUACACACGUGCUACAAUGGCGCAUACAAAGAGAAGCGACCUCGCGAGAGCAAGCGGACCUCAUAAAGUGCGUCGUAGUCCGGAUUGGAGUCUGCAACUCGACUCCAUGAAGUCGGAAUCGCUAGUAAUCGUAGAUCAGAAUGCUACGGUGAAUACGUUCCCGGGCCUUGUACACACCGCCCGUCACACCAUGGGAGUGGGUUGCAAAAGAAGUAGGUAGCUUAACCUUCGGGAGGGCGCUUACCACUUUGAUUAGAAGU